rnacentral:rRNA from 1 species
GAUAAGAAAGCUGUCUCUCUUUACUGAACUCUGAAGUUAGCUGGAUAGUGAAGAGACUCUCUUAGCAAAGCGGGACGAGAAGACCCCGUUGAGCUUUAGUAAAAAUUGUUUAUUAAAAACUUGAUUACUUGAGUUGGGGCAACUAUCUUUCUUUUUUAAAACAAAGAUAAAAACGUUUUGAGUUAAUUCUUUUAUGACCCUUAAUCUUAGGAAUUAUAGAAAAAGUUACCACGGGGAUAACAGCGUAAUUUUUUUUGAGAGUUCUUAUUGACAAAAAAGUUUGCGACCUCGAUGUUGGAUCAUAGUUUCCGGGGGGUGCA